rnacentral:ncRNA from 2 species
CCGUAGAAAAGCCCUGACGGUUCCCGCCCUGACCGGGCGGGAUGAAAAGGGAACGCGGUGGGGGACCCCUCCCCGAUGCCGCGGCUGCCCCCGCAACUGUGAACGGCGAGCCCGACACCAUCCCCGCGUACGAUAUCGCGGCGGGGAUCGAAGCCACUGGGAAACCGGGAAGGCGGUGCCAGGGUGAUGACCCGUGAGCCAGGAGACCUGCCGUCACGCCGUGGUCACG